GGAGGAGUAGCGAAGUGGCUGAACGCGGCGGUCUGUAAAACCGCUCUCUCUGAGUUCGGCGGUUCGAAUCCACCCUCCUCCA
rnacentral:tRNA from 1 species